rnacentral:rRNA from 1 species
GACAGAGGGGGCAAGCGUUGCUCGGAUUUACUGGGCGUAAAGGGCGCGUAGGCGGCACCGCAAGUCGACUGUGAAAUCUCCGGGCUUAACUCGGAAAGGUCAGCCGAUACUGCGGGGCUAGAGUGCAGAAGGGGCAACUGGAAUUCUCGGUGUAGCGGUGAAAUGCGUAGAUAUCGAGAGGAACACCUGCGGCGAAGGCGGGUUGCUGGGCUGACACUGACGCUGAUGCGCGAAAGCUAGGGGAGCGAACGGG